AAAUCAUUCUCAGGGGAAUCCAAGCUUGCCACCAGGUUUCAUGCCUCAGCAGCCUAAUAAUUUCAUGCAGCAACCUCAACCUGUAGCUCCUCCUCAGCUUCCUAUUGGUGGUGGUGGUGGUGGUCAGAAACUGCCAUUUCAGUUGAAUUCACUUCGGACCCCAGAGCAGCAACAACAAUUGUUACAGUUUCAGCAACAGCAGCAGCAGCAGCAGCAGCAGCUUCAGGCACAGAUGGGUCUGAGGCCUGGUGGUGGUGGUGGUGGGCAGGGUGGUUUGUUUGGAAUGCAUCAAGUUAUGAACCAUGGUGGUGGUGGUGAUUUGAUA
rnacentral:lncRNA from 1 species